AGCUGGUAUCAAGCACACUCCAAAGUAGCUCAUAACACCUUCUAAGCCACACCCCCACGGGAAACAGCAGUGAUAAAAAUUAAGCAAUAAAUGAAAGUUUGACUAAGUUACACUAGUAUUUAGGGCUGGUAAAUUUCGUGCCAGCCACCGCGGUCAUACGAUUAGCCCAAACUAAUAGAUGGUCGGCGUAAAGUGUGUUUUAGAGUACAAUUAAAAAUAAAGCCAAAUUUUAACCAAGCUGUAAAAAGCCCUGGUUACUGUAAGAUAUAUAACGAAAGUAGCUUUAAAACUUCUGACUACACAAUAGCUAAGACCCAAACUGGGAUUAGAUACCCCACUAUGCUUAGCCCUAAACAUAGAAAAUUAUCAACAAAAUUAUUCGCCAGAGUACUACCAGCAAAAGCUAGAAACUCAAAGGACUUGGCGGUGCCUUAUAUCCUUCUAGAGGAGCCUGUUCCAUAAUCGAUAAACCCCGAUAAACCCAACCAACCCUUGCUAAGUCAGCCUAUAUACCGCCAUCUUCAGCAAACCCUAAAAAGGAAGCACAGUAAGCACAAAUAUCAACAUAAAUACGUUAGGUCAAGGUGUAGCCUAUGGGUUGGAGAGAAAUGGGCUACAUUUCCCUAACCAUGGACAUAUUACGAAAAUUUAUGUGAAACCAUUAAUUAAAGGUGGAUUUAGCAGUAAAUUAAGAAUAAAGCGCUUAAUUGAAUAAGGCCAUGAGGCACGCACACACCGCCCGUCACCCUCUUCAAGCAAUAA
rnacentral:rRNA from 1 species